GAUGAGCAUUGUUUCAUUCUUAAGUUCCACAUUAGAAGGUUAUUCAAUUUUGCAAAGCUUUGAUGAGCAUCGUUUAAUUCUUGAGUUCCACAAUAGAAGUCUAUGCAAUUUAAGCAAAGCUUUGAUGAGCAUUGUUUGAUUCUUGAGUUCCACAAUAAAAGUCUAUGCAAUUUAAGCAAAGCUUUGAUUAGAUUUGUUUCAUUCUUGAGUUCCACAAUAUAAGUCUAUGCAAUUUAGCAAAGCUUUGAUAAGCAUUGUUUAAUUCUUGAGUUCCACAAUAAAACUAGUCUUCGCAAUUUAGCAAAGCUUUGAUGAGCAUUGUUUAUUUCUUGAGUUCUAGAAGAGAAGUUGCCUUUAUGCAAUUUAAGCAAAGUUUUGAUGAGCAUUGUUUAAUUCUUGAGUUCCAUAAUUGAAGUAGACUUCGCAAUUCAGCAAAGCUUUGAUAAGCAUUGUUUAAUUCUUGAGUUCCACAAUAGAAGUAUUCAAUUUAAGCAAAGCUUUGAUGAGCAUUGUUUCAUUCUUGAGUUCCACAAGAGAAGUCUAUGCAAUUUAGCAAAGCUUUGAGGAGCAUUGUUUCAUUCUUGGUUGCCACAUUGGAAGUCUAUGCAAUUUCGCAAAGCAUUGAUGAGCAUUGUUUACUUCUUGAGUUCCACAAUAAAGUCUAUGCAAUUUACGCAGAGCUUUGGUGAGCAUUGUUUUCAUUCUUGAGUUCCACAUUAGAAGUCUAUACAAUUUAGCAAAGCUUUAAUAAGCAUUGUUUAAUUCUUGAUUUCCACAAUAAAAGUCUACGCAAUUUAAGCAAACCUUUAAUGAGUAUUGUUUGAUUCUUGAGUUCCACAUUAGAAGUCUAUGUAAUUUAGCAAAGCUUUGAUGAGCAAUGUUUAAGUCUUGAGUUCCACAACUGAAGUAGUCUUCGCAAUUUAACAAAGUUUUGAUGAGAAUUGUUAAAAUUCUUGUGUUCCACAAUAGAAGUCUAUGCAAUUUAAGUAAAGCUUUGAUGAGCAUAGUGUCAGUCUUGAGUUCCACAAUAGAAGUAGUCUUCACAAUUUAGCAAAGCUUUGAUGAACAUUAUUUAAUUCUUGAGUUCCACAAUAGAAGUAGUCUUUGCAAUUUAGUAAAGCUUUGAUGAGCAUAGUUUAAUUUUUGAGUUCCACAAUAGAAGUAGUCUUUGCAAUUUAGCAAAGCUUUGAUUAGCAUUGUUUAAUUCUUGAGUUCCACAAUAGAUGUCUAUGCAAUUUAGCAAAUCUUUCAUUAGCAUUGUUUAAUACUUGAGUUCCACAAUUGAAGUCUAUGCAGUUUAAGCAAUGCUUUGAUGAGCAUAGUUUAAUUCUUGAUUUCCACAAUAGAUGUAGUGUUUUCACUUUAGCAAAGCUUUGAUGAGCAUUGUUCAAUUCUUGAGUUCCACAAUAGACUAUGCAAUUUAGCAACGUUUUGAUGAGCAUUAUUUAAUUCUUGAGUUCCACAAUAUAUGUAGUCUUUGCAAUUUAGCAAAGCUUUGAUAAGCAUUGUUUAAUUCUUGAGUUCCACACUAAAAGUCUAUGCAAUUUAAGAAAACCUUUGAUGAGCAUUGUUUCAUUCUAGAGUUCCACAUUAGAAAUGUAUGCAAUUUAGCAAAGCUUUGAUGAACAUUGUUUAAUUCUAGAGUUCCACAACAGAAGUUGUCUUCGUAAUUUAGCAAAGCUUUGAUGAACAUUGUUUAAUUCUUGAGUUCCAGAAUAGAAGUUGCCUUUAUGGAAUUUAAGCAAAGCUUUGAUGAGCAUUGUUUCAUUCUUGAGUUCUAUAAUUGAAGUAGUCUUCGCAAUUCAGCAAAACUUUGAUGAGCAUUGUUUAAUUCUUGAGUUCCACAAUAGAAGUAUUCAAUUUAAGCAAAGCUUUGAUGAGCAUUGUUUCAUUCUUGAGUUCCACAAGAGAAGUCUAUGCAAUUUAGCAAAGCUUAGAGGAACAUUGUUUCAUUCUUGGUUGCCACAUUGGAAGUCUAUGCAAUUUAGCAAAGCAUUGAUGAGCAUUGUUUAAUUCUUGAGUUCAACAAUAGAAGUAGUCUUUGCGAUUUAAGCAAAGCUUUGAUGACCAUUGUUUCGUUCUUGAGUUCCACAUUAAAAGUCUUUGUAAUUUAGCAAAGCUCUGACGAGCAUUGUUUCAUUCUUAAGAUCCACAUUAGAAGUUUAUGUAAUUUAGCAAAGCUUCAUUGAUCAUCGUUUAAUUAUUGAGUUACACAAUAGUAUGUCUAUGCAAUUUAAGCAAUGCUUUGAUGAGCAUUGUUUGAUUCUUGAGUUCCACAAUAGAAGUAGUCUUCGCAAUUUAGCAAAGCUUUGAUGAGCAUUGUUAAAAUUAAGUCUAUGCAAUUUAAGCAAAGCUUUGAUUUGCAUAGUUUCACUCUUGAGUUCCAUAAUAGAAGUAGUCUUCACAAUUUAGCAAAGCUUUGAUGAGCAUCGUUUAAUUCUUGAGUUCCACAAUAAAAGUCUAUGCAAUUUAAGAAAACCUUUGAUGAGCAUUGUUUCAUUCUAGAGUUCCACAUUAGAAAUGUAUGGAAUUUAGCAAAGCUUUGAUGAACAUUGUUUAAUUCUAGAGUUCCACAAUAGAAGUAGUCUUCUCAAUUUAGAAAAGCUUUGAUGAGCAUUGUUUAAUUCUAGAGUUCCACAACAGAAGUAGUCUUCGCAAUUUAGCAAAGCUUUGAUGAACAUUGUUUAAUUCUUGAGUUCCAGAAUAGAAGUUGCCUUUAUGCAAUUUAAGCAAAGCUUUGAUGAGCAUUGUUUCAUUCUUGAGUUCCAUAAUUGAAGUAGUCUUCGCAAUUCAGCAAAGCUUUGAUGAGCAUUGUUUAAUUCUUGAAUUCCACAAUAGAAGUAUUCAAUUUAAGCAAAGCUUUGAUGAGCAUUGUUUCAUUCUUGAGUUCCACAAGAGAAGUCUAUGCAAUUUAGCAAAGCUUAGAGGAGCAUUGUUUCAUUCUUGGUUGCCACAUUGGAAGUCUAUGCAAUUUAGCAAAGCAUUGAUGAACAUUGUUUAAUUCUUGAGUUCAACAAUAGAAGUAGUCUUUGCAAUUUAAGCAAAGCUUUGAUGAGC
rnacentral:lncRNA from 1 species